rnacentral:rRNA from 1 species
AUUGAACGCUGGCGGCAUGCUUUACACAUGCAAGUCGAACGGUAACAGGCCGCAAGGUGCUGACGAGUGGCGAACGGGUGAGUAAUGCAUCGGAACGUGCCCAGUCGUGGGGGAUAACGCAGCGAAAGCUGCGCUAAUACCGCAUACGAUCUAUGGAUGAAAGCGGGGGACCAUAAGGCCUCGCGCGAUUGGAGCGGCCGAUGUCAGAUUAGGUAGUUGGUGGGGUAAAGGCUCACCAAGCCAACGAUCUGUAGCUGGUCUGAGAGGACGACCAGCCACACUGGGACUGAGACACGGCCCAGACUCCUACGGGAGGCAGCAGUGGGGAAUUUUGGACAAUGGGCGCAAGCCUGAUCCAGCAAUGCCGCGUGCAGGAAGAAGGCCUUCGGGUUGUAAACUGCUUUUGUACGGAACGAAACGGUCUGGGUUAAUACCUCGGGCUAAUGACGGUACCGUAAGAAUAAGCACCGGCUAACUACGUGCCAGCAGCCGCGGUAAUAC